rnacentral:rRNA from 1 species
GAUGAACGCUGGCGGCGUGCCUAAUACAUGCAAGUCGAGCGAACAGACGAGGAGCUUGCUCCUUUGACGUUAGCGGCGGACGGGUGAGUAACACGUGGGUAACCUACCUAUAAGACUGGGAUAACUUCGGGAAACCGGAGCUAAUACCGGAUAAUAUUUCGAACCGCAUGGUUCGAUAGUGAAAGAUGGCUUUGCUAUCACUUAUAGAUGGACCUGCGCCGUAUUAGCUAGUUGGUAAGGUAACGGCUUACCAAGGCAACGAUACGUAGCCGACCUGGGAGGGUGAUCGGCCACACUGGAACUGAGACACGGUCCAGACUCCUACGGGAGGCAGCAGUAGGGAAUCUUCCGCAAUGGGCGAAAGCCUGACGGAGCAACGCCGCGUGAGUGAUGAAGGUCUUCGGAUCGUAAAACUCUGUUAUUAGGGAAGAAUAAACGUGUAAGUAACUGUGCACGUCUUGACGGUACCUAAUCAGAAAGCCACGGCUAACUACGUG